rnacentral:rRNA from 1 species
UACGAGGGGGGCAAAUGUUGUUCGGAAUUACUGGGCGUAAAGGGCGCGUAGGCGGCCAACUAAGUCGGACGUGAAAUCCCCAGGCUUAACCUGGGAACUGCGUCUGAUACUGGAUGGCUUGAAUUCGGGAGAGGGAUGCAGAAUUCCAGGUGUAGCGGUGAAAUGCGUAGAUAUCUGGAGGAAUACCGGUGGCGAAGGCGGCAUCCUGGACCGACAUUGACGCUGAGGAGCGAAAGCUAGGGGAGCAAACGGG